rnacentral:tRNA from 1 species
GCCCCCGUAGCUCAGUGGAUAGAGCACUCGCCUCCUAAGCGAGGGGUCAUGAGUUCAAGUCUCGUCGGGGGUGCCA